GUUAAAAAGCUCGUAGUUGGAUUUCUGUCAGUGAGGUUCAGUCCGCCCCAGCGGUUGGUACGUGAUCCGCCACUGGCAUCUUCUUGGGGUAUGUGUCUGCUCUUAAUUGGGUGGUACAUAAACCAAGACUUUUACUUUGAAGAAAUGAGAGUGUUUCAAGCAGGCAUGCGCCGUGAAUACGUUAGCAUGGGAUAAUAGCAUCGGACCUCGUUCCAAAGCUGUUGGUUUCUUGGACCGAGGUAAAGGUGAAUAGGGAUUGUUGGGGGCAUUCGUAUUUGACUGUCAGAGGUGAAAUUCUUGGAUUUGUUGAAGACGGACUACUGCGAAAGCAUCUGCCAAAGAUGUUCUCAUUGAUCAAGGACGAAAGUUAGGUGAUCGAAGACGAUCAGAUACCGUCCUAGUCUUAACCAUAAACUAUGCCGACUGGAGAUCGGGGGUCGUUAAUUAUGUGACGCCCUCUGCAUCUUGAGAGAAAUCAAAGUCUUUGGGUUCCGGGGGGAGUAUGGUCGCAAGGCUGAAACUUAAAGGAAUUGACGGAAGGGCACCACCAGGAGUGGAGCCUGCGGCUUAGUUUGACUCAACACGGGAAAACUUACCAGGUCCAGACAUAGUAAGGAUUGACAGACUGAUAGCUCUUUCGAGAUUCUAUGGGGUGGUGGUG
rnacentral:rRNA from 1 species